UACGAAGGGGGCUAGGCGUUGUUCGGAUUUACUGGGCGUAAAGCGCAACGUAGGCGGAUCGAUCAGUCAGGGGUGAAAUCCCAGAGCUCAACUCUGGAACUGCCUUUGAUACUGUCGAUCUGGAGUAUGGAAGAGGUGAGUGGAAUUCCGAGUGUAGAGGUGAAAUUCGUAGAUAUUCGGAGGAACACCAGUGGCGAAGGCGGCUCACUGGUCCAUUACUGACGCUGAGGUGCGAAAGCGUGGGGGAGCAAACAGG
rnacentral:rRNA from 1 species